rnacentral:rRNA from 1 species
CGCAUCUGUGCAUGCAGCAUAUCAAUAAGCGGAGGAAAAGAAACUAACAAGGAUUCCCCUGGUAACGGCGAGUGAAGCGGGAAGAGCUCAAAUUUGAAAUCUUAAAGGGUUUCCCUUUACGAAUUGUAGUUUAAAGAAGUGUUUUCUGUUGAGGUUUUGGUAAAAGUUCUUUGGAAUAGGACAUCAUAGAGGGUGAGAAUCCCGUAUUUGACCUUUACUUUCAACUUUGUGAUACACUUUCAAAGAGUCGGAUUGUUUGGGAAUGCAGUCCAAAAUGGGUGGUAAAUUUCAUCUAAAGCUAAAUAUUGGCGAGAGACCGAUAGAGAACAAGUACCGUGAGGGAAAGAUGAAAAGAACUUUGAAAAGAGAGUUAAACAGUACGUGAAAUUGUCAAAAGGGAAGCGUUUGACACCAGUGUUGUUUUUCUGAAAAUCAAUUAAAGAACUGUUUAUGCUAAGUUGUUUAGACUUUAUCAGCUAACUGUUUAGUUUUGAGUUUUCUUUCAAUGCACUUUUCAGUUAACAAGUCAACAUCAAUUUCUUUUGCUGUAAAAAAGCUUGAGGAAGGUGGCUUGAGAUUCGUCUUAAGUGUUUAUAGCCUCUUGCCUAUGCAGUCGGAGAGAUUGAGGUCUGCAGCGUAGAUCCUUCGGGGCUAAAUGCAUUUGUGCUAAGUUAUAGCAUUUUAUAGACAACUUGUUGACUAUGAUUUGUCUUGUAGCUUACUCGCUUAUGUUAUUUUACCUACGCUUAGGAUGUUGAACGCGACAGAGUCUC